rnacentral:rRNA from 1 species
UACGUAGGGGGCAAGCGUUGUCCGGAUUUAUUGGGCGUAAAGAGCGUGUAGGCGGUCUGAUAGGUCAGCUGUGAAAACUCGAGGCUCAACCUCGAGACGUCGGUUGAAACCAUCUGGCUAGAGUCCGGAAGAGGAGUGUGGAAUUCCCGGUGUAGCGGUGAAAUGCGCAGAUAUCGGGAAGAACACCCGUGGCGAAGGCGGCACUCUGGGACGGUACUGACGCUGAGACGCGAAAGCGUGGGGAGCGAACAGG